AUACGGAGGGUGCAAGCGUUAUCCGGAUUCAUUGGGUUUAAAGGGUGCGCAGGCGGAAUGAUAAGUCAGUGGUGAAAUCCUACAGCUUAGCUGUAGAACUGCCAUUGAUACUGUCAUUCUUGAGUACAUUUGAAGUGGGCGGAAUGUAUCAUGUAGCGGUGAAAUGCAUAGAUAUGAUACAGAACUCCGAUAGCGAAGGCAGCUCACUAAAUUGUAACUGACGCUCAGGCACGAAAGCGUGGGGAGCAAACAGGAUUAGAAACCCCAGUAGUCC
rnacentral:rRNA from 1 species